rnacentral:rRNA from 1 species
GAUGAACGCUGGCGGCGUGCUUAACACAUGCAAGUCGAGCGGAGUUUUUCCGUGAAUCCCCUUCGGGGGUGAAGCGGAAAAACUUAGCGGCGGACGGGUGCGUAACGCGUGGGUAAUCUGCCCUUGUCACCGGGAUAACACAUCGAAAGGUGUGCUAAUACCGGAUGAUAUACAGACUCGGCAUCGAGACUGUAUCAAAGUCAUGCGGACAAGGAUGAGACUGCGUCUGAUUAGCUUGUUGGUGGGGUAAAAGCCUACCAAGGCGACGAUCAGUAGCCGACCUGAGAGGGUGAUCGGCCACACUGGAACUGAGACACGGUCCAGACUCCUACGGGAGGCUG